AAAAGAUGUAGUAUAAGCGAUACAGGGUAUUGGCAGAUAAAGAUGACUGCAAAACCAGCAUUGGAUAGUACACGAUUGAAAGCAGUAAAAGAAAAUUUUUAGUACUACCUUACAGAAGAAAAGAAGAUGAAUGAGGUAAAAAUUCGUCAAGAGAUAAAAUGUUCUGAAAAAUACGUUGCCGGAAAAAUGUGGGACUCAAGUCAUCCUGCCAAAGGUUCUUGAAAGACUGACAAGAAGAAAACUGAAAUCGCAACGUGGCCUUCGUUUGAUCAUCGUAUUACUGUCGAGGAAUAGUGAAAGUUGUACGCAUGUGACAGAUUUUGUAAUGAAGUAAAUUGAACAAAACCAAAUGGAAUCAACUUCGGAAGAUGUCCAACCAUUGCUUCCGCAGUAUCAUAAUAUAUGUCAGUGUAAGAAGGAGAAUUCAAAGGUCCAUAAAAAAAAAUGUUAACUCGACAAACGUUAGAGAUACAACGAAAACAUUGUCAGGUUGUGGUAAUGUCAUGAUAUCCAAGCCAGAACAGUUUAUAUAUGGACCCGAAAGACAGUAUAAAAUAACAGUUAACUUAUAGGAGUUUAACGUUAUUACAAAAAAUAAAAAGCUUUUGACUACAAAUGUUUACUUCUUCGAUCAUGUUCGAUCAUGAAUUUUUCAGCAGUUACCUCGCAUACACAGAUAUCAUAUAUACUGAUGCAACAUUCAAGGUUGUGCCCAACCUGAAGGGAGCAUACCAGAUGUUGACAAUAAUGGUGAAGAUGGAGCACGCAGGACAGAAAUUGGCUCUCAUACACAAG